UCCAUCUCAAAGGGGUGCCCUAGUGGCUGAGAUUAUACCCAUUGAACCUGGGCAGGUAAUGCUGCCAAGGGACAUUUUUNGCAAUUUAUUA
rnacentral:ncRNA from 1 species